rnacentral:rRNA from 1 species
GUGGGGAAUAUUGGGCAAUGGGCGCAAGCCUGACCCAGCAACGCCGCGUGAGGGAAGAAGGCCUUCGGGUUGUAAACCUCUGUCCUUGGUGACGAAACAAAUGACGGUAGCCAAGGAGGAAGCCCCGGCUAACUACGUGCCAGCAGCCGCGGUAAUACGUAGGGGGCGAGCGUUGUCCGGAAUUACUGGGCGUAAAGGGUGCGUAGGUGGCCUUUUAAGUUGGAUGUGAAAUACCCGGGCUUAACUUGGGGGGUGCAUCUAAUACUGGGAGGCUAGAGUGCAGGAGAGGGAAGCGGAAUUCCUAGUGUAGCGGUGAAAUGCGUAGAUAUUAGGAGGAACACCAGUGGCGAAGGCGGCUUUCUGGACUGUAACUGACACUGAGGCACGAAAGCGUGGGGAGAAAACAGGAUUAGAAACCCUGGUAGUCC